AUUGAACGCUGGCGGCAUGCCUUACACAUGCAAGUCGAACGGCAGCACGGGUGCUUGCACCUGGUGGCGAGUGGCGAACGGGUGAGUAAUACAUCGGAACAUGUCCUGUAGUGGGGGAUAGCCCGGCGAAAGCCGGAUUAAUACCGCAUACGAUCUACGGAUGAAAGCGGGGGACCUUCGGGCCUCGCGCUAUAGGGUUGGCCGCUGGCUGAUUAGCUAGUUGGUGGGGUAAAGGCCUACCAAGGCGACGAUCAGUAGCUGGUCUGAGAGGACGACCAGCCACACUGGGACUGAGACACGGCCCAGACUCCUACGGGAGGCAGCAGUGGGGAAUUUUGGACAAUGGGCGAAAGCCUGAUCCAGCAAUGCCGCGUGUGUGAAGAAGGCCUUCGGGUUGUAAAGCACUUUUGUCCGGAAAGAAAUCCUUGGCCCUAAUACGGUCGGGGGAUGACGGUACCGGAAGAAUAAGCACCGGCUAACUACGUG
rnacentral:rRNA from 1 species